AAAAAGGCAAACCCUGAGUUUCCGUGUCCAACUUUGAUUGUCCGUCUUAUAUGAAAUUUUUUUAUAAUUCGUAUUUUCAUUGUUGUUAGAUGAUAAAACAUGAUUAAUAUUUUAUGCGUGACUUGUCUUUUUAAUUUUUUUCAUAAAUUUUUUCAAAUAAGACGGACGGUCAAAUGUUGGGCACGGAAAUCAGGGUUUGUCUUUUU
rnacentral:pre_miRNA from 1 species